rnacentral:rRNA from 1 species
GACGAACGCUGGCGGCGUGCUUAACACAUGCAAGUCGAACGGAAAGGCCCUGCUCGCAGGGUACUCGAGUGGCGAACGGGUGAGUAACACGUGGGUGAUCUGCCCUGCACUUCGGGAUAAGCUUGGGAAACUGGGUCUAAUACCGGAUAGGAACCAUCUUUAGUGUGGUGGUUGGAAAGUUUUUUCGGUGUAGGAUGAGCUCGCGGCCUAUCAGCUUGUUGGUGGGGUAAUGGCCUACCAAGGCGGCGACGGGUAGCCGGCCUGAGAGGGUGUACGGCCACAUUGGGACUGAGAUACGGCCCAGACUCCUACGGGAGGCAGCAGUGGGGAAUAUUGCACAAUGGGCGCAAGCCUGAUGCAGCGACGCCGCGUGGGGGAUGAAGGCCUUCGGGUUGUAAACUCCUUUCGCUAGGGACGAAGCUUUGUUGUGACGGUACCUAGAUAAGAAGCACCGGCUAACUACGUG